rnacentral:rRNA from 1 species
UGCGCAGGCGGUUAUGCAAGACAGAUGUGAAAUCCCCGGGCUCAACCUGGGAACUGCAUUUGUGACUGCAUGGCUGGAGUGCGGCAGAGGGGGAUGGAAUUCCGCGUGUAGCAGUGAAAUGCGUAGAUAUGCGGAGGAACACCGAUGGCGAAGGCAAUCCCCUGGGCCUGCACUGACGCUCAUGCACGAAAGCGUGGGGAGCAAACAGGAUUAGAUACCCUGGUAGUCCACGCCCUAAACGAUGUCAACUGGUUGUUGGGAAGGUUCCUUCUCAGUAACGUAGCUAACGCGUGAAGUUGACCGCCUGGGGAGUACGGCCGCAAGGUUGAA